rnacentral:rRNA from 1 species
UAGCGUAGGUGGCAAGCGUUGUCCGGAUUAUUGGGUUUAAAGGGUGCGUAGGCGGCUAAUAAGUCAGUGGUGAAAGCCGAUCGCUUAACGAUCGAACUGCCAUUGAUACUGCUAGGCUUGAGUAUAGUUGAGGUAGGCGGAAUUGACAGUGUAGCGGUGAAAUGCAUAGAUAUUGUCAAGAACACCAAUUGCGAAGGCAGCU